rnacentral:rRNA from 1 species
GUGGGGAAUAUUGGGCAAUGGGGGAAACCCUGACCCAGCAACGCCGCGUGAAGGAAGAAGGUUUUCGGAUCGUAAACUUCUAUCCUUGGUGAAGAUAAUGACGGUAGCCAAGAAGGAAGCCCCGGCUAACUACGUGCCAGCAGCCGCGGUAAUACGUAGGGGGCAAGCGUUGUCCGGAAUGAUUGGGCGUAAAGGGCGCGUAGGCGGCCUGGUAAGUCUGGAGUGAAAGUCCUGCUUUUAAGGUGGGAAUUGCUUUGGAUACUGUCGGGCUUGAGUGCAGGAGAGGUAAGCGGAAUUCCCGGUGUAGCGGUGAAAUGCGUAGAGAUCGGGAGGAACACCAGUGGCGAAGGUGGCUUACUGGACUGUAACUGACGCUGAGGCGCGAAAGUGUGGGGAGCAAACAGGAUUAGAUACCCGUGUAGUCC